rnacentral:rRNA from 1 species
UCAUAGAAUUUAUUUAGAUUCAUGAUGUCGUAAGGGAAAAUAAUGAUACUACCUUACUAUGAGUGUCGUCCAAAACUGGUGCCAGAAGACUCGGUAAUACCAGAGACGCAAACGUUAAUCAUCUUAAACAGGCGUAAAGGGUUUGUAGGCAGCUUCCAUAAGAUAAUGAUUAAGAAAUAAAGUCGUCUAAUUGAAAGCUAGAAUCAAAAAGAGGUUAUAGUGUAUAACGCCUAGAGGAGGGCUGAUAUCCUUAGAUCCUGGGCAGAAUACUAAAAGCGAAGGCCACUCUCCACUAAUGAUUGACGCUGAGAAACGAAGGUUAGGGUAGGAAAUAGGAUUAGAUACCCCGGUACUCCUUUCUGUAAACGAUGAAUGGUAGUAAUUAGUCGAGAUUACUAGUUACGAAGUUAACACAAUAACCAUUCCGCCUUGUGAGUACUACUGCAAAGUAGAAAACAAAAAAAUUAGUCGGUCUCGAAGCAAACGGAGUGAAGCAUGUUAUUUA